rnacentral:rRNA from 1 species
GGAUGCUUGAUUGAACCGCAUGGUUCAAUCAUAAAAGGUGGCUUUCAGCUACCACUUACAGAUGGACCCGCGGCGCAUUAGCUAGUUGGUGAGGUAACGGCUCACCAAGGCGACGAUGCGUAGCCGACCUGAGAGGGUGAUCGGCCACACUGGGACUGAGACACGGCCCAGACUCCUACGGGAGGCAGCAGUAGGGAAUCUUCCGCAAUGGACGAAAGUCUGACGGAGCAACGCCGCGUGAGUGAUGAAGGUUUUCGGAUCGUAAAACUCUGUUGUUAGGGAAGAACAAGUACCGUUCGAAUAGGGCGGCACCUUGACGGUACCUAACCAGAAAGCCACGGCUAACUACGUGCCAGCAGCCGCGGUAAUACGUAGGUGGCAAGCGUUGUCCGGAAUUAUUGGGCGUAAAGCGCGCGCAGGCGGUUUCUUAAGUCUGAUGUGAAAGCCCCCGGCUCAACCGGGGAGGGUCAUUGGAAACUGGGGAACUUGAGUGCAGAAGAGGAGAGUGGAAUUCCACGUGUAGCGGUGAAAUGCGUAGAGAUGUGGAGGAACACCAGUGGCGAAGGCGACUCUCUGGUCUG